GGCAUAGAGAACAUGCAAUUAUAGGCACACACAUUCUCUAAGAACUGGACAUUUGUAAUCAGAUCCUUUAUAUGAAAUAACAGGUUAUUAACCGAAACCGUAAAGUGGUUAUUUUUAACCGUAGUGCUGGAGUGGUCAUGGAUCGAGCAACAGGGAAUCAGGAUUACAAAACUAACCUUAGAUGUUCAGGUUGUCACAUAAGUAUUUAGUAUAAGAACCGAUUAUUAACCGGUUUUUUAACUGAUAUACCG
rnacentral:lncRNA from 1 species